AGCGUACACGGUGGAUGCCCUGGCAGUCAGAGGCGAUGAAGGACGUGCUAAUCUGCGAUAAGCGUCGGUAAGGUGAUAUGAACCGUUAUAACCGGCGAUUUCCGAAUGGGGAAACCCAGUGUGUUUCGACACACUAUCAUUAACUGAAUCCAUAGGUUAAUGAGGCGAACCGGGGGAACUGAAACAUCUAAGUACCCCGAGGAAAAGAAAUCAACCGAGAUUCCCCCAGUAGCGGCGAGCGAACGGGGAGCAGCCCAGAGCCUGAAUCAGUGUGUGUGUUAGUGGAAGCGUCUGGAAAGGCGCGCGAUACAGGGUGACAGCCCCGUACACAAAAAUACACAUGCUGUGAGCUCGAUGAGUAGGGCGGGACACGUGGUAUCCUGUCUGAAUAUGGGGGGACCAUCCUCCAAGGCUAAAUACUCCUGACUGACCGAUAGUGAACCAGUACCGUGAGGGAAAGGCGAAAAGAACCCCGGCGAGGGGAGUGAAAAAGAACCUGAAACCGUGUACGUACAAGCAGUGGGAGCACGCUUAGGCGUGUGACUGCGUACCUUUUGUAUAAUGGGUCAGCGACUUAUAUUCUGUAGCAAGGUUAACCGAAUAGGGGAGCCGAAGGGAAACCGAGUCUUAACUGGGCGUUAAGUUGCAGGGUAUAGACCCGAAACCCGGUGAUCUAGCCAUGGGCAGGUUGAAGGUUGGGUAACACUAACUGGAGGACCGAACCGACUAAUGUUGAAAAAUUAGCGGAUGACUUGUGGCUGGGGGUGAAAGGCCAAUCAAACCGGGAGAUAGCUGGUUCUCCCCGAAAGCUAUUUAGGUAGCGCCUCGUGAAUUCAUCUCCGGGGGUAGAGCACUGUUUCGGCAAGGGGGUCAUCCCGACUUACCAACCCGAUGCAAACUGCGAAUACCGGAGAAUGUUAUCACGGGAGACACACGGCGGGUGCUAACGUCCGUCGUGAAGAGGGAAACAACCCAGACCGCCAGCUAAGGUCCCAAAGUCAUGGUUAAGUGGGAAACGAUGUGGGAAGGCCCAGACAGCCAGGAUGUUGGCUUAGAAGCAGCCAUCAUUUAAAGAAAGCGUAAUAGCUCACUGGUCGAGUCGGCCUGCGCGGAAGAUGUAACGGGGCUAAACCAUGCACCGAAGCUGCGGCAGCGACGCUUAUGCGUUGUUGGGUAGGGGAGCGUUCUGUAAGCCUGUGAAGGUGUACUGUGAGGUAUGCUGGAGGUAUCAGAAGUGCGAAUGCUGACAUAAGUAACGAUAAAGCGGGUGAAAAGCCCGCUCGCCGGAAGACCAAGGGUUCCUGUCCAACGUUAAUCGGGGCAGGGUGAGUCGACCCCUAAGGCGAGGCCGAAAGGCGUAGUCGAUGGGAAACAGGUUAAUAUUCCUGUACUUGGUGUUACUGCGAAGGGGGGACGGAGAAGGCUAUGUUGGCCGGGCGACGGUUGUCCCGGUUUAAGCGUGUAGGCUGGUUUUCCAGGCAAAUCCGGAAAAUCAAGGCUGAGGCGUGAUGACGAGGCACUACGGUGCUGAAGCAACAAAUGCCCUGCUUCCAGGAAAAGCCUCUAAGCAUCAGGUAACAUCAAAUCGUACCCCAAACCGACACAGGUGGUCAGGUAGAGAAUACCAAGGCGCUUGAGAGAACUCGGGUGAAGGAACUAGGCAAAAUGGUGCCGUAACUUCGGGAGAAGGCACGCUGAUAUGUAGGUGAAGUCCCUCGCGGAUGGAGCUGAAAUCAGUCGAAGAUACCAGCUGGCUGCAACUGUUUAUUAAAAACACAGCACUGUGCAAACACGAAAGUGGACGUAUACGGUGUGACGCCUGCCCGGUGCCGGAAGGUUAAUUGAUGGGGUCAGCGCAAGCGAAGCUCUUGAUCGAAGCCCCGGUAAACGGCGGCCGUAACUAUAACGGUCCUAAGGUAGCGAAAUUCCUUGUCGGGUAAGUUCCGACCUGCACGAAUGGCGUAAUGAUGGCCAGGCUGUCUCCACCCGAGACUCAGUGAAAUUGAACUCGCUGUGAAGAUGCAGUGUACCCGCGGCAAGACGGAAAGACCCCGUGAACCUUUACUAUAGCUUGACACUGAACAUUGAGCCUUGAUGUGUAGGAUAGGUGGGAGGCUUUGAAGUGUGGACGCCAGUCUGCAUGGAGCCGACCUUGAAAUACCACCCUUUAAUGUUUGAUGUUCUAACGUUGACCCGUAAUCCGGGUUGCGGACAGUGUCUGGUGGGUAGUUUGACUGGGGCGGUCUCCUCCUAAAGAGUAACGGAGGAGCACGAAGGUUGGCUAAUCCUGGUCGGACAUCAGGAGGUUAGUGCAAUGGCAUAAGCCAGCUUGACUGCGAGCGUGACGGCGCGAGCAGGUGCGAAAGCAGGUCAUAGUGAUCCGGUGGUUCUGAAUGGAAGGGCCAUCGCUCAACGGAUAAAAGGUACUCCGGGGAUAACAGGCUGAUACCGCCCAAGAGUUCAUAUCGACGGCGGUGUUUGGCACCUCGAUGUCGGCUCAUCACAUCCUGGGGCUGAAGUAGGUCCCAAGGGUAUGGCUGUUCGCCAUUUAAAGUGGUACGCGAGCUGGGUUUAGAACGUCGUGAGACAGUUCGGUCCCUAUCUGCCGUGGGCGCUGGAGAACUGAGGGGGGCUGCUCCUAGUACGAGAGGACCGGAGUGGACGCAUCACUGGUGUUCGGGUUGUCAUGCCAAUGGCACUGCCCGGUAGCUAAAUGCGGAAGAGAUAAGUGCUGAAAGCAUCUAAGCACGAAACUUGCCCCGAGAUGAGUUCUCCCUGACUCCUUGA
rnacentral:rRNA from 1 species